rnacentral:lncRNA from 1 species
AAAAACUUAAAAUAUUUAUAACAACAAGCACACACUUACAGAUUAAACAAAAGCCAAUAAAUUCCAACCUAGACUAUGCGAUAACAGCAAACCUCCUUAGCACAAAUCCAACAUAAUACCGCAAAAAGAAAAAUGAGAGAAACCUCACCGACCGCAGAACACAAUAGGCGACGGAGUACUUCGGGUGCAAGUGAUGACUGUAGUUGUAGUUGAAAGAGGAAAAUAGAGUUGCUAGCCGUAGUGGUUGUUAAAGAGAAGCUGCCGUCGAAAAUCUUUUAGGGUUUUUCUUCUUCUCUUGAAAUCGCCGCCACUCUGGUGUGCUCACUCGCCNUUCGGGAUUACAACUGGACAUUCCAUCCAGGUAAUCUUUUUCUUCCAACUUUUUAUUUAGGAAAUGAUUUGAAUAUUAGAGUGUAGAAGUGAAGACGAAUAUUUAUGGCUUACAAGCUCUUACAGCUUGAGCCUAAUAUUCGGGAUUACGACUGGAUAUUACAUCCAGGUAAUCUUUUUCUUCCAACUUUAUUAAGAAAAUGGGUUGGACAUUUAAUUAAAAUGAUCAAUGUACACAAGAUUUGAAAUUUGACUGGAUGUGCUUAAAAAAAUUGAUGUAAGGACCUUUUGGUGUUAAAAUUGAACACUUAAUCAUGCAGUAUCAGUAAUUAUUAACAAGCAUUCAAAUAAUAUAUAUAUAAUAUAUACUAGCAACAAUAACAAAUGCAAGCAUAUUUUCACUAAUGCAAAAAUAAUUACAACUAAAAAAAUAAAAAAACAAUUAAUAAAUUUAAUCUACAGAUUAAAUAGUUCAAUUUUAGUCAACUUUCAUAAUAUCAAUAAUAACAUAUAAUAAUUUUAAAAAUAAAAAUCUAAAAAUAAAAAUAGAGAUAAAUAAACAAGUUUAAGAAAAACAAAAUAAACAAUAAACAAUAAAAAUAAAAAUAAAUAAGAUUUAAGCAAAACAUGUAAAUAAGACUUAAACAAAUUUGAAACAUGACGACUUUUAUUUAUAUACAUAUAUAUACUUUAGACAAGCACUAAGUAUGUCUAUAAGACUAAAAAAAAUAAUAAAAAAAAUAACGAUUAUAUAUAAAACUCAAAACAAACUAAGAUAAAUAUAUAUAUCUAAAACUUAAGAUUAAAAAGUAUGGCACAAUCAAAUUAUUUACGACAUCCUUUAAACAGAACCCAACAAUCCAACUGAAAUGAAAAAAAGAAUUCAAAGAUUUAAAAUCAAAUAAACAAAAUAGUAUAUAGAUAUAUAUGAAAGUAAAUUAGUGAACUACAUAAAAAAACUUAAAAUAUUUAUAACAACAAGCACACACUUACAGAUUAAACAAAAGCCAAUAAAUUCCAACCUAGACUAUGCGAUAACAACAAACCUCCUUAGCACAAAUCCAACAUAAUACCGCAAAAAGAAAAAUGAGAGAAACCUCACCGACCGCAGAACACAAUAGGCGACGGAGUACUUCGGGUGCAAGUGAUGACUGUAGUUGUAAGUUGAAAGAGGAAAAUAGAGUUGCUAGCCGUAGUGGUUGUUAAAGAGAAGCUGCCGUCGAAAAUCUUUUAGGGUUUUCUUCUUCUCUUGAAAUCGCCGCCACUCUGGUGUGCUCACUCGCCUGCUUCGCCUUCAGAAAAAAUCUUCGUCCAAACGCCGGCGGGAUGAAGCUCUAGGGUUCUCUCCACAGAGCGCCGCUUCCAG